GAUGGCAAAAAGGUUAGAAGAUGAUGGGCCAAAUGGAGCUAUUCAUGUAGGUAGGGGCCCAGGGGACAUUAAUUAGCAAUGCCCUGUCUGCAGCCUUUUGAAUGGGGUGUUAUAGGCAGGCAACCUUGGUGAUCAAAAGGGCUGUGGAGAUACUGACAUUCCAGUCUCCCUGGGGUGUUCUCCAACUUCCCAGAGUCAGAUGGCCUCCAUUCCUCAAUUCUACCAGAUUCCCUAUUCCACACUAAUUGCCUCUCCUCAAUUCUGGCUUCACCAACAUCUCCCAGUCACUAUACAGGAUGGGGAGAAGUGAAAAGAUAAGGGAGAAGAAUGCAGGAGAACAAAGGAAACUUUAGAUGUAUACAAGAGGACAGAACUUCCUCUCCCAGGGAUUCCAAGUUUGGGUUCCCUUCUUCCACCUGGGAGAAGUCUCUUCUACUGUUCUUUAAUAAAGCUUCUUACUGUCUACUCUAUACUUGCCUUGGUACUAGGGUUAUACUUCAACAUCUGAGGAAGCAGGACUUGUCAAGGUAACUGAUAACCAAAGGUAUUAACAUCAGACUUUCAAGUCUCCAUUGCACAUGACAACUCUAGGUCACUGUGGCUACUGCUGAUUGGUUCUUAUUGAAAACUAUUCUCAAGAUUUUAUGGUUAGGCAAGUUAAUGGUACCUGCUUCUAGAUUUCAGGACUAUCUAGGAGGCUAUGGUUAUUAAAACAUGGUUGAGCUUCAGGACAUGCAAAAACAUUAGUGGAAACAAAGAAGUUUCUUGAAUUAGGACACACAUAAAAGAAAUUAAACAGAGAGGCAUCAACUAGGAUAUUGUGGAGGAUAAUGGAAUGGACCAUCAUUGAUUCGUUGUUUGAAUUGGGAGUUGAGGAAACCUGAGAGUUGAACCUUGUACAUUUAUUUGUGUGGGGCACAGAGGUCAUGUGGAGGGACACUAAAAUUGGGAGUGGGUACAGCAUAGAGAAGGAGGGCACUGGUGAAGGGUUUUUGAGGCAGUGGCAGAAGAGAUGUCCUGAAGCUCCUGUUAUAGGAAUCACAGCAGAAUGACUAUGAGGUCACAGGACACAGGUUACCAGACCCUUUGAGUUCUGUCAGUACCAUCUUCUUGAGCUCUGUGUACUAGAGAUUACAAACCUCUGCUCUAGAGUACGUACGCAACAGUGGAAAUCCUGGACCAUAAGAAGCCACAGAGACAUACCUGCUCAGUGGAUGAAGGGCAAAGGCUCAUACCAAGUGAAGGGUUGGAAACUCACAGAGCAACAAGUUAUGGCCCUUUCAUGGAAGAGGCUGUUGAUUCCCAGAUGGAGUUGGAAAAGAUUUUUUGCUCAGAUUGUGCUGCCAGCUGUUUGUCUGCUUUGCCCUGGUGUUCAGUCUGAUUGGCAAGUACCCUUUGGCAAGUACCCCAGCCUGGACCUUCACCCUGGAUGUACAAUGAGCAUUAUGCAUUUUCAGGGCCAGGACCCACAGAACUCUUGAACAGAGCAGAAGCAGACCAUUACAGUGGCCCUCAUGCUAGUGAUGAGUGAAGUUCAUCAAUGGAGUGAAGCCUGCUAUCUUCUGGAUCUUCUAUUUUAUAUUUUAAUAACAUUGUCUAUAAAUCUCCAUCAAGGCCAUAGGUUAGUAUGUAUAAACAAAGAAUGACUGGCUGUUACCAGCAAGUGUUCAAACUAAUCUCAAAGAUGUAUGGAAAAGGGAAAGGCAGAGGCAGUUGUAUUCUUCCAUGACACCAAUUGUUUGGGAUAUAGCAUCUUAUCUCACACCAGAGAGAGUCUGUCCAUAGUGACUUCAAUUAAUACUAUCACCACCACCCAGUUUCCUAUGUGAAGUCUUUUCAAAGAAACAUAAAUAAAGAAAACUCUUAGACAUAACUCAGAGCUAGUGUCUCUAAUGUUUUUGAUAGGCUUUUCCCUCCAGAGUCAGAGUAUUCUUUGCCUUACUAUGAAAUUAAUCUGUCCUCUGGGGGCCAAAUAAAUAAGUGAUGUACUUCCUGUUUUUCA